rnacentral:rRNA from 1 species
AUUGAACGCUGGCGGCAGGCCUAACACAUGCAAGUCGAACGAGUGGCGCACGGGUGAGUAAUGUGUGGGAAACUGCCCGAUGGAGGGGGAUCACCAGUGGACACGGUAUCUAAUACCGCAUACCCUCGGAUGUGCCCAGAUGGGAUUAGCUUGUGGGUGGGGUAACGGCUCACCUAGGCGACGAUCCCUAGCUGGUCUGAGAGGAUGACCAGCCACACUGGAACGGAGACACGGGCCAGACUCCUACGGGAGGCAGCAGUGGGGAAUAUUGCACAAUGGGGGCAACCCUGAUGCAGCCAUGCCGCGUGUAUGAAGAAGGCCUUCGGGUUGUAAAGUACUUUCGGUGACGAGGCGUUAAUCGCAGAAGAAGCACCGGCUAACUCCGUGCCAGCAGCCGCGGUAAUAC